CAGGCAGAUGGAAGAGCCUGCAGGAUGGUCUCAAGGCAGGAGAAGCUUGGUGCAUCUGAAUUGUCAGAGGGCUGUUGUGCCCGGAGUUGUCAACGAUGGGGAGACUGAACCAUUUUGGUAGGGUUGCCAAGAUCAUGCAGAGCCUGAGUACAAUGCUCAGAGUUUAUUCUAAAUGAAAUGAGAAGCCAGUAAAGAAUUUAAAAUGGGGGAAAACAAGAUAUAAUUUUUGUUUGAAAAGAUUACUCUGGCCAGCCUGUGAAAUAACGACUGUAGGUGGGCUAGCAUUGAAGCAGGAAGGUCCAGUUGGAAAGCUUUGGCAGUAGUCUUAAAUGAUGGAUCAUGGCGGUUUGGAUGAAGGAGGGGACAGUGAAGACAGGGAAGAGAGAAUGUAUUCAAGACACACUUUGGAGGCUUGGUCCCUCUUUGGGUGGGCAUCCAGUGAUCAGUUCCUUGCUCCUUCAGUCUCUUACUCACAAGGCCUUUCACAUCUCCCACCAAGGCCUAUUUGAGCUACAGAGUCACCAAGCCCACUGAGUGUUCUUCUGAAGGGUUCCUUGCCUAGGAUUCUGCUUCCACAGCCAUAACCACAGUCUGGAUUUUCAUCAUCUUGCACUGGAUUUAUAGCAAUUGCUUUCUAACUGGACUCCAUAAGUGAUCCCACACAUAACCCCCCAACUAUUUUUAAGAUAUGUAUAACCUCUCCUUGUACACACACAUGUAUUCUCCAUCAGCCUAAAAAUCUAUAAGGGUUUCCUAUUACCAACCCAUUGCAUUUAAACCUUGUCUGUGAUCCAAGGACUCUAUAUCUAGAAUCAGACCCCUCUCUCACUUGAUAACUUCCUUUUCCUUCCUGUGUGGGUACACCCCCUCUAAAUGGAAAUGCAAAUCUCCUCUGUGCUUCUCAAUUAUAGCUUGCCAAGUCUUACCCUAUAUUGUGGCUCUUACAUAUAACUUUUUUUUGGAAUGUUCCUGUUUCCCUUUAUCAGUUCAAGCUUCUGUUUUCUUUAAAACUUUACUCAAAGCCCCCUUCCUUCAGAAGUUUAUCCCACUCUGAAUAAUACCUUAUUAUAGUGAAAGUAAUAAUUACAUUCUAGCUAUUAAAUAACUAUUGCAUACUAGAUACUCUGCUAAUAAAUGUGCUAUUAUUGUCUUACCCUUGCAAAGACCUAUAGAGGCAAGUAGUAUUUUUCUUAUUUACAGAUGAGGAAACUAAACCUUAGAGAAGUUAAGUCAUAUACACAAGUUCACAUAGUAGGGAAGUGCCAGAGUUGAGAUUUGAAAUCAUUGCUAUCAGGCCCUAAAUUUUAUACUCUUCCUUCCUAGAAUAUCAUGUAACAUGUGUACAGUUUUGUUUAAGAGUUUUCCUUGAAAAUGUUUUCUUUAAACUAUGGAAUAUUUUUCAAGGGCAAAAUAUGGUGCCUACUGAUACUAGUUAGCCAACAACUAAAACUCUCUCUAGCUACCAAGGAGAAAAUCUGUUAGCUGGAUCAAUACAGAAUUAUCUGAAAGCCUGUAGAACUAGGCUCAGAAAACCAGAAAGACCAAAGCAAAGUAAGGCAAAGAGACAUAUAGCCAAGGUCCUUGCCCCAGGAAUAGUCUGGUGAGAAAGCUACUGAGAACACGACAGCCCGGUUGUUUGAUGGCACCCCUGCUGAAUGAAUGACCUCUCUCGCUAUUCCUCCUCCCUCAAUCAUUCCCUCUGGAUUACCUCAUGGCUGAGCCAGAGCAGGGACCAGAGAAGAGGAUGUCUCACCUCUUUAAGCUUCUGAAGAAAUAAGUGGAGGGCCCUGUAUCCACAAAGACUUACUCUAGGACGGUUGUGAGAGUUUGGAUUUUUAUCUCAUAAAUAUUCACUUUUUUUUCCUUUCCUUUAUGGGCUUAGCCAUGCAACUUGCUUUGACCAAUGGGAUAUUAGCAGGAGUGACUUGAGCAAAGGCCUGAAAUAAUCUACAUCGUGAGCCUUGCCCUCUAGGCUGCCACCAUUGCCAUGAAAAGGACAUGCCAGGAGAAGCAGCCUGAAUCCCAGAAUGAGGACCUGUGAAGCUGAACCCCCGCCCCCACCCCAGCUAACCCAUGGUCCCACAGUCAAGACAGAGCUGCCCCAGCUGAGCCACAGAUUGAUGACAACGAUUCACAGGAGCCAGUGGAGGAAGCCAAGUCCCCAGAAGAUGGUAGAACCACAUCUUCUAGGAAAGAACCUGGAUCCCUAAAUAACUAUGUGGAACACAGCCCUUGCUGCAACUUGCAAUUAACUGUGAUAUUAGCAAAUUAUACUAGUUAAGUAUACUAAGUUAUAUAUAUACUAUGUUAAGUCUUCAAGGUUGUUUGUUGCAGUCAUUAGUAUUAUUUGCCCUAGUUAAUACAUGGUCAGAGAUUAUUAGGUAGGAAAUAACAGGCUUUCUCUAAUUAUGUAAAUUAAAUAUUCAUCUACU
rnacentral:lncRNA from 9 species